AUACGUAGGGGGCAAGCGUUAUCCGGAUUUACUGGGUGUAAAGGGAGCGUAGACGGAAGGCCAAGUCUGAUGUGAAAGCCCGCGGCUCAACUGCGGGACUGCAUUGGAAACUGGUCAUCUGGAGUGCAGGAGGGGUAAGCGGAAUUCCUAGUGUAGCGGUGAAAUGCGUAGAUAUUAGGAGGAACACCGGUGGCGAAGGCGGCUUACUGGACUGUAACUGACGUUGAGGCUCGAAAGCGUGGGGAGCAAACAGGAUUAGAUCCCCUGGUAGUCCACGCCGUAAACGAUGAAUACUAGGUGUCGGGUUUCUAUAGAGAUUCGGUGCCGCAGCAAACGCAAUAAGUAUUCCACCUGGGGAGUACGUUCGCAAGAAUGAAACUCAAAUGAAUUGGCGGGG
rnacentral:rRNA from 1 species